GGGAGUAGCAAUACAACUGGUGGCGACCGGCGCACGGGUGAGUAACGCGUAUGCAACCUAUCUAUCAGAGGGGAAUAACCCGGCGAAAGUCGGACUAAUACCGCAUAAAACAGGGGCACCGCAUGGUGCUAUUUGUUAAAGAAAUUCGCUGAUAGAUGGGCAUGCGUUCCAUUAGGUAGUUGGUGAGGUAACGGCUCACCAAGCCGACGAUGGAUAGGGGAACUGAGAGGUUGGUCCCCCACACUGGUACUGAGACACGGACCAGACUCCUACGGGAGGCAGCAGUGAGGAAUAUUGGUCAAUGGGCGAGAGCCUGAACCAGCCAAGUCGCGUGAAGGAAGAAGGAUCUAUGGUUCGUAAACUUCUUUUGCAGGGGAAUAAAGUGCAGGACGUGUCCUGUUUUGUAUGUACCCUGAGAAUAAGGAUCGGCUAACUCCGUGCCAGCAGCCGCGGUAAUACGGAGGAUCCGAGCGUUAUCCGGAUUUAUUGGGUUUAAAGGGUGCGUAGGUGGUUUUAUAAGUCAGCGGUGAAAGUUUGCAGCUUAACUGUAAAAAUGCCGUUGAAACUGUAAGACUUGAGUGUAAAUGAGGUAGGCGGAAUGCGUGGUGUAGCGGUGAAAUGCAUAGAUAUCACGAAGAACUCCGAUUG
rnacentral:rRNA from 1 species